GACGGGGGGGCAAGUGUUCUUCGGAAUGACUGGGCGUAAAGGGCCCGUAGGCGGUGAAUCGGGUUGAAAGUGAAAGUCGCCAAAAAGUGGCGGAAUGCUCUCGAAACCAAUUCACUUGAGUGAGACAGAGGAGAGUGGAAUUUCGUGUGUAGGGGUGAAAUCCGUAGAUCUACGAAGGAACGCCAAAAGCGAAGGCAGCUCUCUAGUACGUGACUGACGCUGAGACGCGAAAGCGUGGGGAGCGGACAGG
rnacentral:rRNA from 1 species